rnacentral:rRNA from 1 species
UGAGCAAUCUGCCCUUCUCAUCGGAAUAAGCGUUGGAAACGACGUCUAAUGCCGAAUACGACCUCCUUUCGCAUGAUCGGAGGUGGAAAGCUCCGGCGGAGAAGGAUGAGCUCGCGGCCUAUCAGCUAGUUGGUGUGGGUAAUGGCCCACCAAGGCGACGACGGGUAGCCGGCCUGAGAGGGUGACCCGGCCACACGUGGGACUGAGACCACCGCCCAGACCUCCGUACGGGAGCAG